GCUUCUCCAUAUUUCCGGGUCAGAAACAUGAAGGUCCAUAUCCCAGCAUUCAAACAAGCCCUUCAGGUGACUCUGAUGUCACAGAGAGCUUGACAUCACUGUUUUGAAAGAAGACCUGAUUCAGUGGAAUAGUGAGACAAGUCUCACAAGACUACAAAGUAAGUAUGGGGUAGACUGGCCCAAAAAAGACAAACCCAGUCAGCACUGACUGUCUUCUGCUCAAUGUGGCAUGUGUUGGGACUCUUCAUGGAGGAAGCUGAUAAGAUAGAAGGCUCCGUUCAUUCUCAUUCUCAAGAAUAAAUUUUCACCUCCCUCUCUUGUGACUACAGAUAUUAAGAAGCUAAAUUAUGUAUAAUUUUAUAAUCGCCACAGUCUUUGAUAUGCCAGACAGACAUUAUUGUUCCUCUGAAUAUAACAUUCAUUUCCCGACUAACUUAAGAAAAACACAAGUUCUUUAGACACUGUGUAAUUGAUAGAAUUGGAUUGGCCAAUUCAACUCGUAGGAUGUGAAAAUACGUAUCACGACAGUUUGCUCCGAUUCAUCCAAGACCUGGUGCCAUAUUGGCCCUGAAUUAGUACAAGUGAGAUAUCUGGGGAGAGCAGUAACUUGAGUGUUCAAAAUGAAAAACAUUUUUUAUGUCAAAUGCUGAAUCGUAAGAGAUGUUCAUUCACACUGCAAAGAGAUGUUCAUACACCAUCUUGUAUGAUCUCACACGAAUGCCAUCACGUGCUGGUGAAAAUGAACAAUAUGAAUAAGUGGAACAAAACAAAGCUUCAUCCUUUUACUGAGCACAGGUGAAUUAAGACAGGAGCCACAGGGUGUAUACCAUACUCAGGUGGAAGGAUGGGCACAGGAGGAGGCAUGUAAGAAAAAUGACACAGCUGCCCUUCUCUCCAUGCCAGGAGUGAAGUAGCGAGAAUGUGGUGACGAAGAUCAGAGACGCUUCAGCCCUAAGAGGAACAUGGGAAAUCGGAACAGCUGCUGCUCCAAGGGGCAAGCAUCGGUUUGUGGUCCAGCUGAUUCUCAUAAGAACAACCACAUCAGAAGCUUGGAGGAAACAGGCUUGAGAAUGUAGUCACUUAAAAGUGACUAAUAAUUUUGGUUCGUGAACAGUGCUGAAGUCAAAUUGUUUGUAAUCUAAGUGAAAAUGACGUCAAAACAAUUAUCUUUUCUAGAAAGGGAGCCCCAGGAUAGGGUUUCCAGAAUGGAUCCCAGACUUUUCACCCUGUCUGCUUCUAUAUUACUCAGAAUCUUUUCUUUUAUUAAUAGCAACAAUUCUGAAGGUGAGUUCAGAACGGGAAUACAAUAUAGUUCCUGUGGCUGUUGUUGCUGUUCAUUGUUUAAAUCAAAGCCUGGAGAGUGAAAAGGGGCAAUGGAGAUUUCACAUUAUCUGAGACACUGGAACUUUCCCUCAGGAAGGCUAGGAAGACAGUCUCCACAUCCCAAGCCACAAAGCCCUACCCAGAAUGAAAAUGCCAAGAACAGUGACCUCAGAUAACUGUGUAAAUGAAGGAAGAGAGGUUGGAUCAUUACAAGGAGAGUUACUUGAAGAUUAAGGUAAAAUGACCUUGUUUAAACCCAGGAUUCAACAAGAAAAAAAAGGAUCAUUGGUACAUCACAUCUUAAAAGCCAAAGUAAUUCUCUGGGGAAGACUAGUAAUCGCUUAACUUCCGUAGACUCUGUCUGUAGAGAUCUGAGCUAUAUCAGAUACAUACUGCUCUACACAGAGCCACACAGAGCAUCUUCAACACAGUCCUUGGCCAGCUCUGAAAGCCUCUACAAUCUCAUGGAAGCCCCACUCCCAUUUGGUUCUAAACGGUUUCUGUUCAUUCCUUUGUUUUUAUGGCUGGCAUUGCAUCAUACAUUGUCAGUGUUGUGUUGGUGCUUAAAAGGAUUCCAACAUGUUCUUGUUUUCUGAGAAACAAAGGCACAGAGACUGUUUGGGCAACUUGACCAAACUCUGAGAGCUAGUGAGAAGUGAACUGGGUUUUAAAGCAAUCCAGCUCUGGUAUUCCGACUCUAAACAACACUAUAAUCAUUCUUUCGCAAGAGUAGACUCUCUGUGGGGCUAAACCUGAAAACUAAUUGACUAAUUAAAAACUAAUUCACUCA